rnacentral:rRNA from 1 species
GUUCAAGGAUGAAAGACGGUUUCGGCUGUCACUUACAGAUGGACCCGCGGCGCAUUAGCUAGUUGGUGGGGUAAUGGCUCACCAAGGCGACGAUGCGUAGCCGACCUGAGAGGGUGAUCGGCCACACUGGGACUGAGACACGGCCCAGACUCCUACGGGAGGCAGCAGUAGGGAAUCUUCCGCAAUGGACGAAAGUCUGACGGAGCAACGCCGCGUGAGUGAUGAAGGUUUUCGGAUCGUAAAGCUCUGUUGUUAGGGAAGAACAAGUGCGAGAGUAACUGCUCGCACCUUGACGGUACCUAACCAGAAAGCCACGGCUAACUACGUGCCAGCAGCCGCGGUAAUACGUAGGUGGCAAGCGUUGUCCGGAAUUAUUGGGCGUAAAGGGCUCGCAGGCGGUUUCUU